rnacentral:rRNA from 1 species
UACGUAGGGGCAAGCGUUGUCCGGAAUCAUUGGGCGUAAAGAGCGUGUAGGCGGCCCGAUAAGUCCGCUGUGAAAGUCCAGGGCUCAACCCUGGAAUGCCGGUGGAUACUGUCGGGCUCGAAUCCGGAAGAGGUGAGUGGAAUUCCUGGUGUAGCGGUGAAAUGCGCAGAUAUCAGGAAGAACACCCGUGGCUAAGGCGGCUCUCUAGUACGGUACUGACGCUGAGACGCGAAAGCGUGGGGAGCAAACAGG